GGAAGGGACAGGAAAGAGGAGCCCAUUUUCUCUAGGACACAGCCGGCUGAACACCUAAAAACCAGAGGAAUCUGGAAAUGUCCAUGCGAAUAGAGCGCUCCUCAUUCGUCCGGGUGAAGAAACGAUUUGAAGCUAACAAUAAGAAGAUUAAGAAGAUUGAGGAGAAGCAGAAGGAGUAUGAUUUUGAAGAGCGCAUGAAAGAGCUUUGAGAAGAGGAGAAAGCAAAAGCUUACAAGAAGGAGAAGCAGAAAGAAAAAAUUCUUCAAGCAGAGGAGGAUCUCUUCGAGGAGAAUGAUGACAUCGCUGACCUGAUAGGAUUCUCAGGGUUUGGUUCCUCAAACAAAG
ensembl:lncRNA